rnacentral:misc_RNA from 1 species
GAUGAAGAACGCAGCGAAAUGCGAUAAGUAGUGUGAAUUGCAGAAUUCAGUGAAUCAUCGAAUCUUUGAACGCACAUUGCGCCCCUUGGUAUUCCAUGGGGCAUGCCUGUUCGAGCGUCAUUUGUACCUUCAAGCUCUGCUUGGUGUUGGGUGUUUGUCUCGCCUCUGCGUGUAGACUCGCCUCAAAACAAUUGGCAGCCGGCGUAUUGAUUUCGGAGCGCAGUACAUCUCGCGCUUUGCACUCAUAACGACGACGUCCAAAAGUACAUUUUUACACUCUUGACCUCGGAUCAGGUAGGGAUACCCGCUGAACUUAAGCAUAUCAAUAAGCGUAGGA